AGAAGAGGCACCGAAGCAUCAACUAUCUUGGAACUCUGCCAACUAGAACCUCGGCCUCAACUGACACAUCCAAACUAAUGGCUGAGUGUCUUUUUUAGCAGCAUCAAGCAACUCCUUUACAAUACCACCCAAAGUAAUUUUCCUGAAGAAAUUCUCCUUGUAUCUAACUUCAUUCAGGUUCUUGGGGCUUGCCAAAUAGCCAGCAAUGUGACCUUAACUUGGUCAGUUGACAUCUCUGGUCUUAAGUUUCCUAAUCUGCAACAUUUGAAGGUUUAUUUUCUAAACGUUUUUACUUUAGUACUAAUUUCUGUGAGACAAUCAAGCUAUUCAAUGUUAGGUUGAGGUAUGUAAAUCAUUCCUGCCAGCCUUUGUACGAGGUGGUUCUGGUAUCACUGUGGCCCAGCAUGUGUCUGUCUAUCAGUGUUGGCAGCCGCUGAGACAAGUGAUGUCACCUGCCAAUACUGUAGAUUGAAUAACCAGGGAAGGCUGAGGAAUGCAAGUGAAUGUAAAAACCACCUGGAGGGAAGCAUUGCAGCAAGAAAGGAACAGCAAGUGCAGAGGCCUGAGGCAGAACCAGCAGGGAAAAUGCUUUGAGGUGAGGCAGGUUCCAUGAAAACCUGGAAGAAAUAUUCCUGAGGACCAUCCAACACCAUUUCCCUGAGAGACAAGCUGUAAGUGCUGUUCUAGUUACAGAUCCGAGUCCCUGGUACAUUGAUAUCAAGUAAGGGUGCAUGCAGCUCAGAAGGCAGUUUCCAUUACACUGGACAAGAGUGUGGCUGCCUGAGUCCUAGAACUGCAGUGGCUUCUGCUGACAAUGUGAGGAGUAGCUGCCCUGUCCAGAGUGUGGCCCCGCACGCUGCCCCCUCCCCUGGAGGGACUGAAGAGAACAGCUUGGAGCAUGCCCUUCCCUUUCCCUUAUCUCGCCCACUAUGCUAAUGCUGCUCAUCCCUCAAGAUCCGAGUUAUUCCUCCUCAAUUCAAUACACACCAAUCAACUGCCCUGUGCUUGGUCCUGUACUUUAUAUCCUUGAUAUGGUUUAAUUUUCAAAACAAAACACCUUGAGGUGGGUAUUAUCACUCCCAUUAACAAACAA
rnacentral:lncRNA from 1 species